UCUGGCUCAGGAUGAACGCUAGCGAUAGGCCUAACACAUGCAAGUCGAGGGGCAGCACAUGAGUAGCAAUACGAUGGUGGCGACCGGCGCACGGGUGAGUAACACGUAUGCAACCUACCUUUAACAGGGGAAUAACCCGUUGAAAAACGGACUAAUACUCCAUAACACAGGGGUCCCGCAUGGGAAUAUUUGUUAAAGAUUAAUCGGUUGAAGAUGGGCAUGCGUUCCAUUAGCUUGUUGGUGAGGUAACGGCUCACCAAGGCCACGAUGGAUAGGGGAACUGAGAGGUUUAUCCCCCACACUGGAACUGAGACACGGUCCAGACUCCUACGGGAGGCAGCAGUGAGGAAUAUUGGUCAAUGGAGGCAACUCUGAACCAGCCAAGUUCCGCGUGAAGGAUGAAGGUCUUAUGGAUUGUAAACUUCUUUUGCAAGGGAAUAAAGUGGGGGACGUGUCCUCCUUUGCAUGUACCUUGCGAAUAAGGAUCGGCUAACUCCGUGCCAGCCGCCGC
rnacentral:rRNA from 1 species